UACAGAGGUCUCAAGCGUUGUUCGGAUUCAUUGGGCGUAAAGGGUGCGUAGGUGGCGCGCUAAGUCAGGUGUGAAAUUUCGGAGCUUAACUCCGAAACUGCAUUUGAUACUGGCGUGCUUGAGGACUGGAGAGGAGACUGGAAUUCAUGGUGUAGCAGUGAAAUGCGUAGAGAUCAUGAGGAACACCAAUGGCGAAGGCAGCUCGCUGGAACGGUACUGACGCUGAGGCGCGAAAGCGUGGGGAGCGAACAGG
rnacentral:rRNA from 1 species